CGUCGGGGCAUGGGGGGGGCUUGGGGUGGAGCGGGGGCCCCGGGGGGGCUCUAACCACCUGUAUCUCCCCAGGCCCCCGUCCUGUGAGCCCCACAACAGCUUCAUGCUGCUGACGCGGCCCAGGUCCCCCUCUCGCACCCCGAUCAAGCAGCAGCCGGUGCCCUCAGCAGAGCCGUUCCUGUCCAUCCCGAGGUCGCCACAAGCCCCUCAGAGCCGCAAGGUCUCCUUCACCCAGCCAGAACCGGACAACGACAGCGUGCCCAGCUACGAGAACGAGGGCGAGGCGGGCGGCCAUCCCCGGGGCGCCUGGCCGCGGGCCCCAUCCCCUGCCCCGCUGGCAGCCCCUGAGAGCGAGGAUGACUACAACAACGAGCUCUACGCCACCGGCUACGUCGAGGUGCUCCCGGAYGGCGCGGCCCAGCCCAGCCCGCCCCAGCAACCCCAGGCCAGGGACAGCGGCUCCUCCGCGGCGCCCGGUGAGGAGUAUGAGAACGUCCCCGACGCCCACCGCCAGUCCCUAGGUGAGUCGCGCACAGAGGGGCAGGUCUGUGGGGCGGGGCCCCCCAACCCCAUCCCUGUCUCGCCUCUCAUCCCCGCUCUGUUCCCUACAGCUGACAGCCUGGAGUACGUCAAUGUCCCCGAGGCCGGGGCCAGCCCCACGCCCCGCUACGGUGAGCAUUUUGGGGCCGCUUGGGCCUGCCCCGUGGCGGCUGAGGACCCCCCCCAUGACUACGGGCGGCCUGACACGAGCCAGGCCCCCCCUCACUGCGGGGCACCCCUCUGUCCCCUGCAGCCAGCGAGAGCGAGGAGGACGCCCCAGACUACGAGAACCUGCAGCGCUGAGCACCAGGUAAACCCCGGCCGGCACCGCGUCAGCACCGCGCACCCCACACCCGGCCCCCCCGCCCCGCCCCGGUCCCUCGGGCCCAAGUGAUCCUGGUCUCUCUCACAGGCGCCGCCGGCCACGGCCCCGCACCAGCGCCAGGACCGGCGGCUGGAGUCCCUUGGAACCAGCCGGGCCCCCCCGACCCUGUUAAUUUAUUGCAUCCCCCCGUCUGUGCACCUUCUUCUGACACAUCCUGAGAAGCACCCCCCGCUGGCCCCCGGCCCUGACCCGGGGGCCCGGGGGUCCCCAUGCCCCGACCCGGGGCCCCCGUCCCCCCAUAACGCUGAAUAAAGCCGUGGGAGCCGCACCGAGCUGUGCCUGG
rnacentral:lncRNA from 1 species